UUUCCAUCUUCUUCCCCUGAUCCCUAACGCCCUCCCCCUUCUCCUGAUUCUUUUCUCUUCCCCCAUCUUCGCCGCACUCCUUUUCCCCUCCUCGUGCCACCACUCGAAGUGAAAAUUGACACCAGCCGAUCGUCGACCACGUUUCCCUUAUCUUCAUCUCGUCGACGCAAACAACUUGCGAAGCAUCCAGAUUCCUUCUUCAUUCACCCAACCACAGCCUCUUCCCCCUUGCUCUUCUCUCCGCAUCGCCAUCGACUGCCACUGCCUGACGCCAACUACCAGCCACCCGUGUGCCACUUGAUCUCCUCUCUCCUGGUCGCAGACACCAUGUGCUCGUCGGAAGCUAAGCAUCUAAUCCCAUGUCUUCAGCCGAGCCCUAGAUGUCGACCCCCUAUCGACCGAGCAUGCUAGAUCUCUACUAGAAUUUGUUAAUCGUGUCGAAUCUCUGCUCGACAUUGCAUCUCCGAUCUUAAGGAUGAUCUACUCGGGUCGACCUCUUCCUCCUCCACUCUACAUCGCUGCUUGAUUUCGUUGGAUCCCUACUUAGUGUGGUCGUAGGAUCGCAUCAAGUUUUGGUUAGCCGUUGCUGAUUGAUUAUGCCAGUGCCACAUUGUCGCCGUUCUCUUCUCUGCAUUGUCUUGACACCAUAGCAACCACCGCAAGUCUCAUGGCCCUGAUUUUAUGUCACCACUGAAGCUCCUACAUCCUCCAUUCCACCGGUGACACAAAUUACCGCCUAGCUACCAGAAGUGGGUUCUUCCACAUGAAUUGAAUCUAUUGGCACAUAUAUGGGGUGCCAGAUUUGGAGACUCUCUAAUAUUUUAGAUCUGGCCAUAUUUUUCUAGCAGCGGGUGCUCCAUCGGCGAGUUAACAGGGAAGUACACGGGUAUAGGACGUUGAUUCAAGAUGAGCAUCUCGAAGUGGGAUUUGUUCCGAUACGAACUACUGAUUAAGGAGACAUUAUGGAUUUGGUCUGACGACCCUGCACCUGUUUGUAUGGUUCACACAUUUAUGUUCAGAUAGGAGGUCCUGGUGAGUAUAGUUUCUUCUGUUGUUCAGUUUUACAUUACUUGUUAUUGAUCAGGAGACUGUACUGCAUGGUUAUUACUUGUAGUUAUAUUUUACUAUACAUAUCUGCUUGAUACCCACUGAGUAUGUUAUACUCACUACCCCUUAUUUUUCUUGUUGAUUUCAGGUUAGCACAUAGAUAUGUUGUGUCGCUUAGAGUAUCUUGUCUUCAAGUUCCACGUCACAUCCGAGGACUAUUUCCAAUUUUAUCUCUGCUUUACUUGUCUUACGUUUUUGGUGGAGUUGGUGUUGUAUAAAUUCGAAUUUGUUUUUAGAGUUUGCUAUGUGGAGUUUGUAUUUGUUUUGUUGUGGUUGUGUAAGCCUAGCUAGUUAGCAGUCUUCAUUUUUUUGUAUAAGCUUUCUUUCAUUUUCCGCUUUGUUUUUAGUACAGUCGUAUGAGCUGUUUAAUAUAUAUAUAGCUGUGUAGUUGUGUAUAUUCUAGCUGUGUGGGCUAAUGUAUAUAACUUGUGGAUGUAUAUAUGAUUUAGAUUGUCAUCGGUACAGGGGAGAUGUUGCCAGAUUUUCCUUUGGCAAGGACUCCUCUGGGGCGUGAUAAUUUAUUGGUAUCAGAGCUAGUUUUACAAGGCUUAAUUCUUGUAUUUUGGAUUUCAUGUUUUGAUUUUCUCGAUGUGACUUUUCGAGUUUUGGGACCAGACAGCAGCAGGACAUCUCUAAGCUAUAGGAGGUAUAUUUGUUUACUGUUAUCAUGCACUUCUUUUAAUACAUAUGUAGUUGUCGAUGAUAGUUAGUUAUGACAUGUGUUAAUACUCUUUUAUUACCUGUCUAGUUGUUUGUAGCAUAUAUUUCAUGUGAUGGGUCAACCACUGAUCACGGUCGACCCUAUGAGAGAUCAAGGAUAACAGUCUAAGGGGAUUUGUCAAAUCAUACUACCAGUAAUAAUCAUGUUGACUCAGUUAGUAGAGUACCGGUUUACUCCUGUUGGUUCGGUCAGCAUCCUAAUCCUCGGUAUUAUCAGACUCAUCAGCAGGAUAGGUAUAAUUUAUUUGCAAGAUUCGGGUAUGGGAACAUACAAGAAGGGAUUUUUGAGUGGUCUCAGUAUUAUCAGCCUUAGUUUCAACACCAUCAGCCUGAGCAACAUUUUAGGGAGUAAUCACAACAAUAUUUGCAUCAACAAGAAAUACAAUUUCAUGAAAGAGCACAUUCAUCGACAUAGUUACAGUUACUAUCAGAUCAACCAACUGCAUCAAUUUAUGAGGAGAUGAAUUGUAGAGUUUGUGAUAUUACUAACUUUAAGCUGCUACUUCACAUGACUCUUCUAGUUUUUUAUAUUGUGAUGUUGUAGUUGAUCCUGAUAAUAUUCUUGUUGAUGAUAUUGUUGUUUCAAAUAUUCUA